GAGAGCGCGAGACAAGACGGGACAUCCUACAAAGCCUAACAUUUCUGCCAGUAUUACAGAAUGGACAGCUUAGGAUACCACACGGAGGGGAGUGAAGGAGCCUUGGGGAUGCCUGAAGGAGGGGCAGUGAAGGAGGGAGGCCUGGAGGUGAAGGAAAUGCAGAAAAUUCCUCUAAUACUGAGCGCUUCUCUGGUCAGACCAUCCUUCACUGAAUAUUUGGACCGAGGCUUCAAGAUACGAGUGAGCCACGCGACCCUCCAAAACAGCGCCAUCCUGCCCACUUGUGGUGUAGCAUCCCUGAUCGUACCCCUCCCUCCCUCCUCCUCCUCCUCCUCCUCUUCCAGCAAAGAAGAGACCUUUGACCAGCUGGUGGACAGGGUCCGCGCCUUUAGCCGAGUACACGCGGGGGGCGUUGUAAUACUGGUGGGUGCUGUGUUUGGCAUGGAGGAGGUGAACGGGGUGUUGGGGAAGUUAUCAAGGCGGUUACUACCACGCCCUCCCCUGCUACUGCCUGCCCACGGGGAAGCCCAGGCUGCCGCGCACAUACAACUACUGGCAAAGAAGUAGCGGCGGGGCUGGAAGUGGGCGGGAGUUUAGCAGGCUUCGCUAAGAUUGGGCUGGAAGUUAACGGAGGAGGAGGCGCGGCACGUGACAAUGCAAUACAGGGCUUACAGAGGGCAGGCGUGACUGGGCCCUACCUCGCCGCCCUUGUCAACACCUUAGAGAGAGAUACGCUCACCUUGUAGAGAGAGAGAGAGAGAGAGGAUAUAUUUUAAUUUUCUUUCGUUAUAUAUUCAAUUUAUUUAUUUAUUUAUUAUUUUAACGGUUAUUUUCUUUUCUCUAUUUUUCGUUUCGUUUUUUUUUAUGGAAUGUUGAAUUUUACCUAUAUUUGUUUACAUUUUUUUUUAUCAAUUUCUUUCGAUUUUAUAUUCAGUUCAUUUAUUUAUCUUUAUUGUUUUGAGACCAUUAAUUUAUUUUAUUUAUUUUUUCGUUCAUUUUCAUAAUGGGAAUAUUUACUUUUAUAUAUAUUUUUCAAUUAUUUUUCAUUUCUUCGAUUUAAGUGUGUCUAAGUACUUGCAAGGAUCAUUUAUUUAUUUAUUUACUUUUAUUUUCCGUCCGUUUUUAUUUAUUUAUUUAUUUAUUUAUUUAUCUUUUUUUAUAAUGGAAACUUAUUUCAUCUUUUUUCCCGUUUUCUGUUACUUGUUCAUG